rnacentral:rRNA from 1 species
GACGAACGCUGGCGGCGUGCUUAACACAUGCAAGUCGAACGGAAAGGCCUCUUUCGGGGGGUACUCGAGUGGCGAACGGGUGAGUAACACGUGAGUAACCUGCCCUUGACUUUGGGAUAACUUCAGGAAACUGGGGCUAAUACCGGAUAGGAGCUCCUGCUGCAUGGUGGGGGUUGGAAAGUUUCGGCGGUUGGGGAUGGACUCGCGGCUUAUCAGCUUGUUGGUGGGGUAGUGGCUUACCAAGGCUUUGACGGGUAGCCGGCCUGAGAGGGUGAACGGCCACAUUGGGACUGAGAUACGGCCCAGACUCCUACGGGAGGCAGCAGUGGGGAAUAUUGCACAAUGGGUGGAAGCCUGAUGCAGCAACGCCGUGGGCGGGAGGACGGCCUUCGGGUUGUAAACCGCUUUCGCUCAUGACGAAGCUUUGUGUGACGGUAGUGGGUAAAGAAGCACCGGCUAACUACGUG